CCUCUCGUGGUGUAAGGAAGCGCGCCCUAUCUAGAGAACAGGGAGUCGUGAGUUCGAUUCUCACCGAGAAGA
rnacentral:tRNA from 1 species